rnacentral:rRNA from 1 species
GACGAACGCUGGCGGCGUGCUUAACACAUGCAAGUCGAACGAAGUGGCGAACGGGUGAGUAAUACGUGAGUAACCUGCCCUCCUUUUUGGGAUAAGCCUUGGAAACGGGGUCUAAUACCGAAUCAUGGGGGAUGGGCUCGCGGCCUAUCAGCUUGUUGGUGGGGUGAUGGCCUACCAAGGCGGUGACGGGUAGCCGGCCUGAGUGGGUGACCGGGCACAUUGGGACUGGGAAACGGCCCAGACGCAGACGGGAGGGGGGAGUGGGGGAUAAUGGACGAUGGGCGGAAGCCUGAUGCAGCGGCGCGGCGUGGGGGAUGAAGGCUUGCGGGUUGUAAACCUCUUUCGCUAUCGAAAGGGUAGGUGGAGAAGAAGCGCCGGCUAACUACGUGCCAGCCGCCGCGGUAAUAC